rnacentral:sRNA from 1 species
CCUCCAGUUACCGUCCGGUCACGCUGCU